ACACUGAAGGCCUAUAGGUUCACCACUGUACUAACCUGUCACACACUGAAGGCCUAUAGGUUCACCACUGUACUAACCUGUCACACACUGAAGACCUAUAGGUUCACCACUGUACUAACCUGUCACACACUGAAGGCCUAUAGGUUCACCACUGUACUAACCUGUCACACACUGAAGACCUAUAGGGUCACCACUGUACUAACCUGUCACACACUGAAGACCUAUAGGUUCACCACUGUACUAACCUGUCACACACUGAAGACCUAUAGGUUCACCACUGUACUAACCUGUCACACACUGAAGACCUAUAG
rnacentral:lncRNA from 1 species